rnacentral:lncRNA from 1 species
UCAUCUCUCUUCUUUAAUAUGGUGCCAUAUCAGCAUAUUUAAUGUCUAUGAAACUCUAUUGAAACUCCAUUAAAAUUGGCCUAAUACUAUGAGGGUUGAUGCAUGAUGGUCUACCAACAUGUAUUAGACUUAUGAGAGUAAACCUGAUUUCUUAACCUAUUUUGCACUCUCACAAAAUCUCUGGUUUCUGGUAGUGGAUAUUUGAUGAACACUACUCCAUCUAUUCUAUUAUAUAUACACAAAAUACAAGCAUGCAAGCAAUACAAAAAUUCUAUACAAAAUUAACAACAAGCUAUGCAAACGAUGGGUCCGUAGCUUACGUUUGAUUUCACAUUCUCUCUCAAAAAUCGUCAUAUGCAGCUGGUUUAAUACAAUUGAUUCAUUUGGACAAGUACCAUGCAUUCAUGCCUUUUUAAUUUCUCCAUCGUCUGUUCUCAAAAAAAAAAAUCUCCAUCGUCCCUAGCUACCGUCUCCACGUAAUUAUUAUGCUUUAUUUAUUUGAAAGUGCAGUAUAUGUGGAGUACCCGCUUCACAAGGGCGUAGUGGCACAAAUAAUUCCAUGGUACUCCCUCCGCCGUCCUCAAAUAUAUUAUAAUAACUUCUACUAUAGUCAAAAAGAAUUAAAGUUUGUCUGAAUUUAUAGAAAAAAAAACAUCAAUAUUUAUACACAUGAGA